ACCACAGGAGCCAAGAAGAGCUCUCAAGCUCAAACCCUAAUCAACAUAAUUUCAUCAAAUUGAAGGGGCAAAUCAAGUCCAAUCAAAAUCUAAGCUCAAAUUAGUGAUCACCUUCAUGAAGGGAUCAUAAGGCAAAGGAAUUGAAUCUUCAAGCGGACGAGCCGGAGUUGAUACGCGCUUGAAGGAAAAGCACUAAAGGUGAAUGUCGAGAGUCCCAGAUGAUGAUCAAGCGACGAAAAGGACCGAACACACGACAUUUAAAGCUUCCGCAAUGAUCUUAUUUUGUUCUAGUUAAAAGUGAAUAUUGUAAACACUUAGAAUUAUAUUUUGGAAUAUUUCUAUACAUGUAAGAAUGUUAACCUGGAAAAGUUUUUGAAAGCUUGCAUUUUAGUA